GAGCCUGCUUGGUGGAAGGUGACGCCCCCACACUUGGCAGUGUGACUUGGCAAAGGUAGCCUUUGUGAGGCAUGGUGUCCUCCGUGUCCUCGUGAGUAGGUGGGACAAUAGCUCGCUGUUGGGAGGAUUUGUAAGACAUGCACAUGAAAUUGUUGUGCCUUUCCCAGCAUCGCAUAGCUUAAUAAACUUAGCCCUUUCCCUUCUGGAAGGAGAAGGAAGUCAACUUGUGAGGCUUCUGUGGACACUAGGAACACAGCUAAGAGCCAGAGUCCAACAGAAUCGCUAAGAGUCCUCCAGAAUAGGUGCCUGGCCUAGCUGGCCAUCUGUUUCUGGAAUGCACAUCCCCUUACAGGCUGGGUCUGCAUUAAGGCCGGGGUCUCAACUUGUUUAUUCUUUUUAAGAAUUCUUACACAUCACAAGAGAGGGAACUUAAUCGACCGCAUCAGCAUGGACACACACACACAAAGACACACAUUUGAUGACAUUCCCUCUCUCAGAGGUACACACAACCACCCAGGUUAUCCUCAGCCAGAAUUCCUCGAUUUGCAACUCUGUGUUGGGUUUGGGAUUCUGGCUUUAAUGGUAGAGAUCUAACAGGGUCUGAGAGGUGGGACCCCGGCACUGCUACAGCAGAGCCCUAGGCAAAACCUCAGGCACCAGCGAGGGGCGCUGUUGGUGAUACGGCACAGAGCGGAGGAGAUACGUGCCCGAAGUCACACAACUUGUGGGUUGGGCUUUGUGGGAUUUUGACCCUGAUGAGUCACUGGAGUGUUGAGAAUGCCCUGGUAAAUCAUUUCCAUGACUCAGUAUCACCACCUAUAAGUUAGGAGCAAGGAUACUGGCCGUAUAGCUUCCCUUAGGGUAGGAACUGUCUUAAAUGGCUCCUCCCACCUUAAGACGGUUGGUGGAUGGGACUGUCAUUUUUGAGGGAUGGUGUGGGUGUAGCCUUCCAGUGAGUUCAGGGCCCCGGCAUGGCUGAGGCAACACGGAGGAGCCAGGAGAAGCCUGUUGGGGACAGUGGUACAACCCCCCCUCCAAAAGAGGGGAGGAGGAAGGCUGGAGAGGUGGAGCAGAUUUGGUGGAGAGAGACGUCAGGGCACUGGGGUUCCCAGUGUCCUCUUCCCAGGGGCAGAGCAUGGCUGUGUGAAUGCCUGGAUGCUGGCCGGGACAGGGGAAGCUUCCCUUUGUGACAAAUGUGGACUCUGAUUUAGGAAGUAGUUUGAUUGAUGGCAUAGUCAGGGCUGAGCCACAUUAAAUGCAAACAGGUGUGCACCUUCUUCCUGCCUGAGGACAGCCGUCCCCCGAACCCUCCGGAACCUGGCCCCUGCCUCGUUUCCUUCUCCAGGUUUCCCGGUGGCAGAGAGGCUCCCAGAUAUGUCUUCGUAUUCCUGCGGCACCGAAAGUGAUGCUGAAUGUGUUUCAGGCUCUCACUAAAUACUUCCUGGUAUAACUGGGACACAUUAGAGACGCACAGAGAGAAGACAGGAGGAGCUCGUGCGAAUGGCAGAUACAUCAAGAGAGGACUAAUGCCUCUUUCUUAAGAGAAUGGAGACAGUCAUUAAUGUCAUCUGAAUUAAAAGACAUAAGUAAGGGCAAAACACCGGGAGGAAACAUGUUAAUGUGUUAAGAGUGAUGAUCUUUUUUGGGUGGGCUUAUGUGACUUCAAGUUUUUUCAUGUGUUUUCCAAAAUAUAGUCAAUAAAUAGUACUCAAACUUAGAAAAAAAUUAUCUUAGGAUGACUCUAGUUAAUGUCAACAUAACUACUUGAAAACUGCUUUCAGCCUGAGUGGUUGGUUGUGUUUUUUUUUCCUUCGGCCUGGUAGGUUCUGGGGAAGAGCGCCUGGAUUCGGAUCCUGGCUCUUCCACUUCCCAGCUACAUGACUGUGGGCAAGUUCAUUAACUUCCUUGUGCCUUUUUGUUUGUUUUAUAAAGUGAGGAAACCUACAGUGCCUAAUUUGGGGUUAUUAAUCAGUUAAAUGAGAUGCUGCUUCUGGGGCACCUGACACAGAGUAAGCACACAAAUAUGUGAGCUGUUGAUAUUGUUGUGAUCUCAUGGGAAGGAAUGCGGUGAGCGGUUCCCGAGAUGUCUCAGAGGAGAGAACUUCUCGGACUAGCCUCAGCUGUGCCUCCCCCUGAGUUAGUAGCCUGUGACCCACGCAGAGACUUCAGGCAGAUGGGCCUCCCGUGGGGCAACAGUGGUGGCGAGGGUGACAAACCAAAACAGGCGAAGUGUUUUCUUCACUUCUUGGAAGGGAUUCAGAGAUCAGCUUCUUCACGGACGCAGCAGCCUGACGUUAGGACACCGUGACUGACACCUACAGGACGAAUGAUGUAGCUGUGCGUGAGCUGGCGUCCAGUGUGGGAAUCACUCAUAUACUCACUCACUCACGCACUCAUUCAUUCGGCUAUUAACUUCACAUAUAUUUAUUAAAUGCUCGCUAUGUGUCAGACCCUGUGGUAGGCAAUGGGAUGCAACCAUUAAAAUGCAAGCGAUUAGGGGCACCGGAGUGGCUCAGUUGGUU